rnacentral:rRNA from 1 species
AUUGAACGCUGGCGGCAGGCUUAACACAUGCAAGUCGAGCGAGCGGCGGACGGGUGAGUAAUGUCUGGGAAACUGCCUGAUGGAGGGGGAUAACUACUGGAAACGGUAGCUAAUACCGCAUACCAUCAGAUGUGCCCAGAUGGGAUUAGCUAGUAGGUGGGGUAAUGGCUCACCUAGGCUACGAUCCCUAGCUGGUCAGAGAGGAGGACCAGCCACACUGGAACGAAGCCACGGUCCAGACUCCAACGGAAGUCAGCAGAGGGGAAUAUUGCACAAUGGGCACAAGCCUGAUGCAGCCAUGCCGCGUGUGUGAGGAGGGCCUUCGGGUUGUGAAGCACUUUCAGCGAGGGGGCGUUACUCGCAGAAGAAGCACCGGCUAACUCCGUGCCAGCAGCCGCGGUAAUUC